rnacentral:misc_RNA from 1 species
UCCCACAGCAGUUUGCAAUUGUAUAUCCCAAUAGGGCUUGCAGGUAAAUAAAGCAUAGAUAGCAGUCCUUAAAACACAGGAAUGCGACCAAAUCCUAGUGUACAAGAUUAAGCAAAUUACUGAAAUGCAACAACUGAUUGGAGAAUGCACACGCCACUAGCAACUCUGCAUACAAAUUUUAGGAGCCAGAGAAAUGAAGCAAAAGAUGACCAAUAAUUGAUUGGAGACAGAUUCGCAAAAGCAUUUCUUUGAUAGGUUCUCAGUUGGACUAUCAAAUUCUCACCCCCAAAAUACUAGGGCAUUAAACAGAAUAACAAAAGUUGAGAUCCGCAUCAGUAUCUUAGCAAAAAAUUGUUAUCCAUUUUUCCUGGAAGUGAUUCUAUAACAUAUAAAGGUCUAAAUGAAAGAAGUGAAAUAAUGAAGUCACUAAAAUAGGCAUCAUCUCUAUCCCUGGGGUGCUGCGUUAACAGGGUGAAUACCCAGGAACCUUGUGAGUGCUACCUACGGCCACCUAAAACAGUCUAGUGGAUUUAAAAGCCAAAGAAGCCAAGUUCACUGGCUCUUUCCUUCUCAAAAGUCUCGAAGUACUGAUAUAUAAUGGUAACUGCAAGCAAUAUCCCAGUUCCUGAGCCAAUUGCUCCCAUGAAAUCAGCAAGAACUGUCAAUGCACCAAUGCACAUUCCUCCAAAGGCAGCUGCUGUUGGUAUGUAGCGGUUCAGUUCCUUCUGAAGAUUUGAAUCACGAUGUCCUGGCAUCACCAUUUGUUGUUCCUGUAUAACCAACAUAAAUAUAUUAAUAAAAAGAUUUUGGAUAACACAGUAUAGUCAGUGUCUUUCCACCAAAGAAAUACCAUGAUCAAAUCAGUUCACUAUGAUAAACAGGAACUCUAUAAAUCAAAUAUACAACCUAUUCUAACGGGACUGACUUCAUCAAAACAAAUUUUAAAAACUAAUGUGGCAUGACUAUAUCGAUGGAUUAAUCCUUGCACCUCUGUGCAAAUACUCUAUGAACAACUUAAGAAACAAAUAUUUUGUAACUAAACUGCAAAAAAAAAUUAUAGAAGCAGGUUCAAUUCAUAGCAGAAUGCAUUUAAGAUUAACAAACCUAUCUUGAUAUACCUUAAGCUGCUUAGCCACAUCCCGGGCAGAUGACCCUGAAACUUCAAUCCAAGUUUUUGAGAAGAGAGCACAGGCUGAAAGCAUGAAAACCAGAUAGAACAAGGCAUGGAAGGGAUUGGCUGCCAUAUCUGCCAAGCUGGCUGGAGCAGUGACAUAGUAAGCCAGACCGCCCACUGGAACAAACUGGCCACCUGAAUAUUCAGAUUCCUUCCACUUCCCCAACAGAUUGACAAAGAAAUUUCCACUGUAUCUCCUGUACAGCAACUGAGAGAUGAAAUAAAGAUUGGAAACAAGUGCAGAUUGGAGAAUAAUGGGCAUAUUAGAGGUGUAGAAAAGCUUAAUUGGAUAUGAGCCCUGUUGUCCACGGGCAUUCUUUGACCUCACAGGCAAAACCACACGAAAACCUUGGAAAUAGAUGACAAUAAGGAAGAUCAAGACUGUAGCAAGUAAAUUGGUAACAUUUGGAAGGUUCUGCCGAUAGAAAGCCUCCCGAAGAGCACGGACUUUGUCUGUCCUGGUGAUCAGCAAAUGGAACAAAGCUAUAACUGCACCUUCAAAUUCAGCUCCGCGGCCACUGUUGAUGGUUGUAGGACUAAAUGCCUUCCAUAUAAUAUUUUCACAAAUAUUGGUAGCAAUGAAAAGGGAGAUUCCAGAACCAAGGCCAUAUCCUUUCUGAAGAAGCUCAUCAAGGCAGAUAACAAUUAUUCCAGCAAAGCAAAGUUGAAUGAUAAUAAGGAUAGCAUUUCCAACCCCAAGUUGACUGACACUACCAUACAUCCCGGAUAGCACAUAAGCAACAGCCUCACCAACAGCUAUCAGAAUGCCCAGCAACUUUUGGGCUCCAUUUCUGCAAAAUAGGCCAAAGGAGAAUAGUAUAUAUUACACAUAAGUUAACAGAAAUGUUACAAGCCUACAACUGCGGGACCUCAAUUCGUAAAAGAAAAGAAAGCAAUGUUCAUGCAAAUCAUAGCUGAAACUAUAAACAAAACUGGUAAUGUGCAUCAUAAGAUACUGCAAAAAUUUUCUUCCAGGCAAUGACUGUUCUAGACAGCAGGAUAAAUCUUUAAUUUGGGUAGAAUAUAAAGAUCAUUGGUAACUUCAAAAACCAAGAAUACCCCCAAUAUUUUGUUUAUGAACUCGAAGAUAUCAGAUAUCAAGUAAAAACCAAAGACAUACAAUUGUCGCUCUAGAAUCAGAAUAACCAAUCAAUUACAAUUAUAGAACUUACAGGAGAGCACGAUCCUCACGGACACUGUUAUCGACUUCAAUGAUCUUAGAACCAGCCAACAAUUGCAUCACCAAUCCAGAAGUAACAAUGGGAGUAAUCCCAAGUUCCAUCACAGUCCCACGAUUGGAUGCAAGAAUAACACGCAUCCAAUAAAAUGGAUCAGCACCAGUGGUGGAGUGUAUCCCAUAAAGUGGUAGCUGACUGCAGACGAGAAAGAUGAAGAGAGAAAUGACAGUAUAUAUGACCUUCUCUCUGAAAGGGACCUUCCGAUCAGCACUCUGAACUUCAGGCAAAAAGGAAAGGAACGGUCUCACCAGAUGCAGCACUCUAAAUCCUCCUCCCAUCUCAACUACUCUAAUCAACCAGCUUAUAAAAGAAAUCCAUGCGAGUUAAAAUCCAAACAAAACGAACUUGAUCCAUAGGCAUAAAAGAGAAAAUGAAACUAGAUCUACUGGAUCCAAUUCUUGAAAAAUCUGGGAUCGAAGAUCGCAAAACGAAAAUGUGAAACUUACUAGCUGUUUGAGAUGUGUGGAAUCAGGCUUGGAAAGAGGAGAUCUAAACCAUGGGGACGGAGAGAUCGAGUGCAGGGAAAGUAAAGGAAUCCCGCUUGCAGGCGACAGUGAAGAAAGCUAGUAAG